UGGCAGUGACUGCCAGACAAAGCGCCUGUAUGAUGGACAGUCCUCUCAGCAAGCCAUCAAGGCACACAGGAAGUUUUUAAAGGCACAAUCUAGAACUGAAGUAGACAAAUGUGGUACUUGUCCAGCUGAAAUGAGAAACUAACAUGCACAAGGUUUGGCCAGAAGGCUCCAGGAGAUCUUGACUUGGACUCAUUUCGAGAAGCACCGAGUAAAAGAGCCUGCUGAUUUGUGCCCUAGACAAAGUGACACAGAGUUGCUAACAUUCAUGCUACCAAAGACCACUCUGAAGAAGAUGUUUCCUAGGAUUAGUGGUCCAAAAUGGAGACUGUGAGUGAGCUAACUCUUAAUCUGCAUG
rnacentral:lncRNA from 1 species